AUACGAUUUUACGGUUUUGGUGG
rnacentral:snRNA from 1 species